GCGAUAUUCAAGAUCGUUUUCUUCUUUAAGUAGGUAGAGAGAACCUAGUUGUCUCACGAAUAAAUAUCCAUUCAGGCAUAAAAGCACAAGCCGAGCGCCCUACACAGGCUCACUGGUGUGACAUGUGACUCUUCUGAGGAAACGAGACUUCCCCACUGCCCCUCAAGUUUAGUCCAAAGUUCAACAUAUUGCAGACAACAUAAUUUUAUCACUUCUUCAUGGCACCUGGAGGAAUAAAAUUACACUAUCCCAUGUUCGCUUGGAAGAAUUACUGACAUUGUGAUUAAGAACAUGAUGAUGAACCAUAUAUAAUUUGUGAUCGGAGACCAGAAGCUGAGACAUAUUUAGUCAAAAACCAUGAUCCACAAAAGCCUCUACAAAUCCCCACCCGUCCUCUGCAUCGGGUCCCAUCCAAAAACCAGAUAUUAUGGAGGGAAAUUUGCUAAUUAGAGCAAUACAACUGUUGUUUUGGGGGGCCAGAUGCCCACAACCCAUCCAAAGAUUACUUGCAUGUCUGCAAUCAGCGGAGAAGUCAACUCGAAUGAGAUGAACUGUCACUGCAUAAUCGAAAGGGAACUUGAUAUGAAGCUUCAAAUAAGCCGAGUGCAUUCAAGAGCAAGUAGCAGAGAGAAGAAGAAGCGCACCAAUGGAAGACUCUUGCAUUGGAUGAGCACCCAGUUCCUGCCUCUUGAACAACAUUAAUGGCAAGGAGAUUCCCUGAUGAUACAUGAUCAGCAGACGGUUAAGAGAGAUGGAUACAGCCGAAAAUUUUCCACAAGUAUUAAAAAAGGAGAUAAUCUGGGGCUUAGGGUUCUGAAAGAUGAUCUUAUGUAAGUUAAUUGUUCACAGAAGAAUUUCCACAGCACAAUCAUAGAAAGAUGAGCAUACACAUACGUGGGCAUGGCACACACUGUUAGAAUCUUAGUCAAAAGUGGAGUUUUUUUUGGGGAAGAUCAUCCUCUUCCUAUCCUCUAAAAUCACAUAAGUUAAAUGGAACUGUAAGCAGAGAGGAAUUCGUCAGUCCCCAUUAAGAGCAUGCUCCAAUGAUACGGAAACCCUAUCUGAUUCUUCAGGCAAAUUUCAAAAACAAUAUUGUUUCGAAGUCAUGUAACAAGACUAUCUGAUGUGAAACAGAAAAUUAGAGACCAAUCAUCAAGUAUGAGCUAGCCAUGAAGGGCACAGUCUCAGGGGAAAAAAUUAUAGCAUUGAGCAGAAUCUAAUUUAGCCCCCCAACUGAAAAAUAAGAUUAUAGGCAACUUUGAAGAAGUAAAAUUAAAAUACACGACCAUGGCUGAAACACAUACAAUAAAUUUGUUCAUAAACACAUUCAAGAGCUGAUACAGCUGAAUCACGAUUAUUCUUGCAGGUCAUGAGCAGUAAGCCCACCCCCCCUCCCCCCAACCACCCAUCACUGAAUGUUAAGCCCAGCUGGACCAUCAUGAAAUAUCUCAUGAAAGAAAUUGAGUAUGUAUAGGCUGUAAGACAAGUUCCACAAUGUGCAUUGAACCGCAUGAAAGCUUUGGGAACUGUAAACAAGAAAAAUCAAAUUCUAGGCGAGUGUUCAGUCCUUGAAUCAAGAGAAUAUUGUCUUUGACACCUCGCACAUCAAGAACGCACAGUAACUGAAUAUCCCUUUCCUCUGAGUAUAAAAAAAUAAUAUCUAAAGUAAAAGACACCGCUGAGUUAGAUUCAUGCAACAAGCUUUGUGAUAGCCGAAGCAGCCAAGAAAGAUGGAAAAUAAAAUAGAAUAGUAAAUUCCAUGAGGUCCCAUGACUUGUGAUACAGCCCCUCAAUUCCGUAAGGGGAAAAAGGGCAAAAUGCCCCAACCUGAUGCGACUGUUCGUGAUGAAAUAGAAACGGCAUCAUCGAAGCCCAAUGCGACAGACUGACAAGAUGUGGCUUUCAGAAUUUUGGCAAUCUGAGCUAUUUAGGGAAGAAAAUAGAAACAGUAUGAGCUUUCACUAAUAGCGAACUUCUACAAUGCUAGAUAAUAGCCGAGAACUAGCCAUCCUUGGGUUUUGAGUAGAAAAAUUUUAUGCUGGUUUCCAAUGCUUCACGUCAUUUUUUUCUGAAUUUUUUCCUCGCAAGGAAAAAAUUCCUUGAGCACUUCAUUGGUUCCAAGCUGUCGCAAGGACAUUUGUCGGCAAUACUCCCUUGAGCACUAUUCAGCUUCAAACCCUUGAUUCCAAGCUGCUGUGAUUUCAGGUCAUGAAGAACCUGAGAAAAAUCAUCCAGUCCACGAUGCUACGAGCUAGUCUACUUUUACGGCAUCCUCGUGACUUUGAUGAACUAAAAAAAUGUAGCGAACGACGGUGUUAGUUCUUAAUAUCUUCGUAAAUUGAGAGAUAACUCCUUGAACUAGCGGCUGGAGUUCAAGUAAUCAGUCGGCCCCUCAGGUCUCCGGAUUUCUAAUUGCAAUCACGCUCAUGGCCAUGGACGAGGCUCAGGCAAUGUCCGCGGGGCCAAGACCGAUCAAACAACACGCUGCAGCGGCUCUCGAUUUUCUCCUGAGUAAAAACAGGAAAAGAAAAUUCCAGCAACAGAGAAGGAACUACAGCCGGCGAGAGAACUAGUUCUUCAUCAGUUUAUCCGACUCCAUUGCAGUGAGUUAGGACCGCUGCACGCCGAGAAUCUGCGGUGUGAAACAGCGACGAUGAUAAAAAGACGACGGAGAGAGCGUCAAUCUUACGAGUCCGGUCGUGGUUGCCUCUCGAGGCUGGUGAGCGAGACGGGGAUGAAGCGACACGAGGGCGAAGGCAGAGCUGGCCAUCGCACAAGGGAGAGCCCUCCCCGCCAACUCCCUCCCCACCAGUUGGCACCUCCGGAGCUCCCUACAGCGCCCCGCGCCUUCCACGACUACGCCUCAAGAAAAGCAACAGAGAAAGAUAGAGCGAGCGAGCGAGCGAGCAAGCGAGAGAGAGAGAGAGAGAGAGAUAGAGAUAGAGCGAGAGAGCGAGCGAGCGAGAGAGAGAGAGAGAGAGAGCGCGCGAGGGAACCCCCCCGGAAAACCGACUUCUCGAA
rnacentral:lncRNA from 1 species